rnacentral:rRNA from 1 species
GAUGAACGCUAGCGGCAGGCUUAAUACAUGCAAGUCGUGGGGCAGCAUGAACGUAGCAAUACAUUUGAUGGCGACCGGCAAACGGGUGCGGAACACGUACACAACCUUCCUAUAAGUGGGGAAUAGCCCAGAGAAAUUUGGAUUAAUACCCCGUAACAUAACGAUGUGGCAUCACAUUGUUAUUAUAGCUACGGCGCUUAAUGAUGGGUGUGCGGCUGAUUAGAUAGUUGGCGGGGUAACGGCCCACCAAGUCUACGAUCAGUAGCUGAUGUGAGAGCAUGAUCAGCCACACGGGCACUGAGAUACGGGCCCGACUCCUACGGGAGGCAGCAGUAAGGAAUAUUGGUCAAUGGACGCAAGUCUGAACCAGCCAUGCCGCGUGAAGGAUUAAGGUCCUCUGGAUUGUAAACUUCUUUUAUUUGGGACGAAAAAGGGCCUUUCUAGGUCAACUGACGGUACCAGAUGAAUAAGCACCGGCUAACUCCGUGCCAGCCGCCGCCGUAAGAC